ACGUUGGAAUUCCUCGACGGGCGUAGUCACGAUCGCUGAUGCUUUUUUCAGUGCGUAAGACACUUUUUUUUUCUCACGAAUGUUUAACCUCUCAAGUGUUCGAAUGUUUCAGUUUUGUUUAUAAUUUCCGUGUGUUAAAGUUCUAUUUUUCUAUUUGGAGACAUCAUAAUAUUUGAGCAAUACAACAAGCUCCUCAAUCAAUGCACGUCAGCUAGUACAAGAAAGGUUGCCGAGUUUUGAGUGUAUAGUGAACAACAGCAAGGUGUGCUUCUGCAGAAGUGGAAAACAGUGAUGUGAUACAAGUGCCAGUGUAUGUCAGUGGUUCAUUCUGAACGAUCAGCUAUCGAGUAGCCAGAAAGCUGCUGGUUACGUGAAAAAACCUUCGAUAAAUCAAUCAAAAUUUGUUGUCUCGUCUUAACUAACUGGAAACAACACACAUUUUUUGUAAACGUACAGCUAAAGCAAUACACAAAAGUACCUCCCCAGGUAGCGUGUACGUGUAUCGAUUGUAAAUGAUGAGUACCAAAAACAGAGGUUAAAAUGGAGGUAAUUAAAAAUUACCUCUGCAUUUCGGUUCCGGAAUUAGCUCUGCGACUUAGUGAAUAUGUAUUAAUCGAACGUCGAUCGGUAAGUUAAACUGAUUUAGGAAAUAUU